rnacentral:rRNA from 1 species
GACAGAGGUGGCAAGCGUUGUUCGGAAUCACUGGGCUUAAAGAGCACGUAGGCGGCCCAUCAAGUGUCUUGUGAAAUCCCCCGGCUCAACCGGGGAAUGGCUUGGCAUACUGAUGGGCUUGAGGUAGGUAGGGGCGAGUGGAACUCUUGGUGGAGCGGUGGAAUGCGUAGAUAUCAAGAGGAACGCCGGAGGUGAAGACGACUCGCUGGGCCUGUCCUGACGCUGAGGUGCGAAAGCCAGGGGAG